UACGUAGGGGGCGAGCGUUGUCCGGAGUUAUUGGGCGUAAAGAGCUCGUAGGCGGUCUGUCGCGUCGGCUGUGAAAACCCGGAGCUCAACUCCGGGCCUGCAGUCGAUACGGGCAGACUGGAGUUCGGCAGGGGAGACUGGAAUUCCUGGUGUAGCGGUGAAAUGCGCAGAUAUCAGGAGGAACACCGGUGGCGAAGGCGGGUCCCUGGGCCGUUACUGACGCUGAGGAGCGAAAGCGUGGGGAGCGAACAGG
rnacentral:rRNA from 1 species